rnacentral:rRNA from 1 species
AGAGUUUGAUUAUAGCUCAGGAUUAACGCUGGCGGCGUGCCUAAUACAUGCAAGUCGAAUGGUAGUAGCAAUACAAACCAUGGCGAACGGGUGAGUAACACGUAGGCAACCUGACUUUAAGACGAGGAUAACCGUUGGAAACGACGGAUAAUACUGGAUAGGACAUCACAAAGGGCAUCCUUAGAUGUUUAAAGGUUAUUAUGCCACUUAGAGAGGGGCCUGCGGCGCAUUAGCUAGUUGGUGAGAUAACAGCCCACCAAGGCGAUGAUGCGUAGCCGGACUGAGAGGUUGAACGGCCACAAUGGAACUGAGAACGGUCCAUACUCCUACGGGAGGCAGCAGUAGGGAAUUUUCGGCAAUGGGCGCAAGCCUGACCGAGCAACGCCGCGUGAACGAAGAAGUUAUUCGUAAUGUAAAGUUCUUUUAUCUGGGAAGAAAAAACAAAUUGACGGUACCAGAUGAAUAAGCUCCGGCUAACUACGUGCCAGCAGCGGC